rnacentral:rRNA from 1 species
GCAGAGCAUCCUACGGGAGGCAGCAGUGGGGAAUAUUGCACAAUGGGCGCAAGCCUGAUGCAGCCAUGCCGCGUGUAUGAAGAAGGCCUUCGGGUGUAAAGUACUUUCAGCAGUGAGGAAGGUGGGUAUGUUAAUAGCAUACUCAUUUGACGUUAGCUGCAGAAGAAGCACCGGCUAACUCCGUGCCAGCAGCCGCGGUAAUACGGAGGGUGCGAGCGUUAAUCGGAAUUACUGGGCGUAAAGCGCAUGCAGGUGGUUUGUUAAGUCAGAUGUGAAAGCCCGGGGCUCAACCUCGGAAUUGCAUUUGAAACUGGCAAACUAGAGUACUGUAGAGGGGGGUAGAAUUUCAGGUGUAGCGGUGAAAUGCGUAGAGAUCUGAAGGAAUACCGGUGGCGAAGGCGGCCCCCCUGGACAGAUACUGACACUCAGAUGCGAAAGCGUGGGGAGCAAACAGGAUUAGAUACCCUGGUAG